CUUUUCCUCUGGACAAGUCUUGAUAAAUCUUCCCCCAUAUCUUCUCCAAUUUGCAAUUCAACAGUGUUUCUCUAUAGACACAAUUUCCCAUGUUGGAGCUCUAACACCUGCAGAAGUCGCUCGCUGUCAAUGGCCCCAUCUGUCUGACACCGAGUGAAAUUCUAUCACGGAUAAGAUUUAUGAGACGUUGGAUAUGACAAGCUCGGAGGGACUGUCAAGACAAAGUUUAAGAAGCCGCUCACGUACAGUAAGACAGAGCUACAAGUCACGUCAGGGCAUAUCUGGGUCCCUGCUUAUACAAACAGCAUCUUUUCCUCCUCCCAAGAUUAAACAGAGUAUUUAAGGAUCCUACACUUCUAAACAAAGUCGGAGCUUGAAUGUUCCUUAGGUAGGGGCCACCAACGCGCUCUGACGUCAUCAGCUCCUUAAGAACCUAAAUCCCGUCCCGGAGAAGGCGUCCCAUUAUCUGACUGAUUGAUGGAAAACUCCGGCUCUAUGCAAAUUCUUCCUGAUAACUACAAGGAACAGAUGGGAAUUCCUCACAUUCAUUGAUUAGGAAAACCUAAGAAUCAGACCGGUGGGCAUGGGAUCGGAUAUCCCCAGGAAACACAUUCCGAGGAUCGCCCUCAAAUGAGAAGAGAAACAUGUUAUUUUCCUGGCCUGUCAACUUGCAAAGGUCACCUGGCGCUAUGACCUCCAUACAAGGCUUCUUUUCAGCGUAUAUAAUGUUAUUUGUCAGCUACCGCCAACUUUUAUCAAUACAUUUCUAUAUAGGUAUAGGAAAGCGGGGUUUGUGAUUUAAAGGGGUACUCUGGUGGAAAAAAUUUUUUCAAUCAACU